UGUAACACCCCGUGUUUUCCAAAGUCAAAGUCAAAGUCAAGCAUUGACUGUUAUUGGAAUUAAAGAUUAAUAAAGAUUAAUUGCACUUUAGUUUCAUUUUGAUUUUCGUAUUAUUUGGAGUAAGUGUUGUAUAAUCAAACUAAUCGACCGAUAAUCGAACUGUGAAUCAACGAUCGACUGUGAAUGAUAGGAAUGUUGUAUAAUCAAACUAAUCGACCGAUAAUCGAACUGUGAAUCAACGAUCGACUGUGAAUGAUAGGAAGUAACAACGCAAUAAAGCUAGUCAAUCAAUAAUCAAGCUAAUCAAAUCAAUCAUCAAACUCAAGUGUGGGGAUUUUAGUACUUUUAUACGUGUGUGUGUGCCUUAUGUGUUAUUUGUGCAUGUUUACUUUUAUGUUAAAAUGUGUGGUGAAUCAAUCAAAUCAAUCAAGACUCGAAGGUGAAUCAAACUCAAUCGAAACCGACUUUGGAAACAAGUUGUAAGGAUGCUUGUAUGUUAGAUAUAGUAGUUGGGACUAAAAGUAAUUUGAUUAG
rnacentral:lncRNA from 1 species